GCCCCCAUGGAAGAAUGUUGUAGUGUCAGCUUAAUAAAAUGAGACUGAUAAGCUGACACUACAACAUUCUUCCAUGGGGGC
rnacentral:pre_miRNA from 1 species